rnacentral:lncRNA from 1 species
CGGCGCUCCACUUUAUGGGUGCGUUUGGUUCGCACUAUUUUUUAAAGAUUCCUAAUAAUUCAAUAGGAAUAAAAAAAUAUGACGGUGUUUGGCUAAACGCACUAAGUAAUCUAACUGGUAAUAUUGGAUUCACUUGGGAAUAAGAUUCACCCCAAAGUACUAAUCUCAUUCCCUUGAGGGAGGGUGGGUAUCCUCAUAUUAAUGAAUUGGGAUAAUCAUAAUAUGCCUAAUCUCUUUUUUUCUUCUUACCCGCCGGCUAAUUGGUAUUAUUUUUCUUUACACUCUAACCUUAUAUCUCUUUCUAAAUUUAUUUUUCUCUCUAAAAUUCAACUUUUUUUCUCUCUCUAAACUAAGCUUUCUCUCUCUCUCUCUUUCUAAAAUUUCGAUUUAGAAAAUCAAUUUUGAAAAUCAAUUUU